rnacentral:rRNA from 1 species
CCUACGGGAGGCAGCAGUAGGGAAUCUUCCACAAUGGGCGAAAGCCUGAUGGAGCAACGCCGCGUGGGUGAAGAAGGUCUUCGGAUCGUAAAACCCUGUUGUUAGAGAAGAAAGUGCGUGAGAGUAACUGUUCACGUUUCGACGGUAUCUAACCAGAAAGCCACGGCUAACUACGUGCCAGCAGCCGCGGUAAUACGUAGGUGGCAAGCGUUAUCCGGAUUUAUUGGGCGUAAAGGGAACGCAGGCGGUCUUUUAAGUCUGAUGUGAAAGCCUUCGGCUUAACCGGAGUAGUGCAUUGGAAACUGGGAGACUGGAGUGCAGAAGAGGAGAGUGGAACUCCAUGUGGAGCGGUGAAAUGCGUAGAUAUAUGGAAGAACACCAGUGGCGAAAGCGGCUCUCUGGUCUGUAACUGACGCUGAGGUUCGAAAGCGUGGGUAGCAAACAGGAUUAGAUACCCCUGUAGUC